GACGAACCGUGCGAACGUUAUUCGGAAUCACUGGGCUUAAAGCGCGUGUAGGCGGCCCGGCACGUCGGACGUUGAAAUCCCCCGGCUCAACCGGGGAACGGGCGCCGAUACGACCGGGCUGGAGGGGGGUAGGGGGCGCCGGAACUUCCGGUGGAGCGGUGAAAUGCGUUGAGAUCGGAAGGAACGCCCGUGGCGAAAGCGGGCGCCUGGACCCCACCUGACGCUGAGACGCGAAAGCCAGGGGAGCGAACGGG
rnacentral:rRNA from 1 species